UACAGAGGGUGCGAGCGUUAAUCGGAAUGACUGGGCGUAAAGGGCGCGUAGGUGGAUGAAUAAGUCAGAUGUGAAAGCCCUGGGCUUAACCUAGGAAUGGCAUUUGAAACUGUUCUGUCUAGAGUGAAGUAGAGGAUAGCGGAAUUUCCGGUGUAGCGGUGAAAUGCGUAGAUAUCGGAAAGAACACCGGUGGCGAAGGCGGCUAUCUGGGCUUUAACUGACACUGAGGCGCGAAAGCGUGGGGAGCGAACAGG
rnacentral:rRNA from 1 species